UGGAUCCAGACUUUGAUCAUGGCUCAGGAUGAACGCUAGCUACAGGCUUAACACAUGCAAGUCGAGGGGAAAUGACAUCGAAAGCUUGCUUUUGAUGGGCGUCGACCGGCGCACGGGUGAGUAACGCGUAUCCAACCUGCCCAUCACUUGGGAAUAACCUUGCGAAAGUAAGACUAAUACCCAAUGAUAUCCCACGAAGGCAUCCGAAUGGGAUUAAAGAUUUAUCGGUGAUGGAUGGGGAUGCGUCUGAUUAGCUUGUUGGUGGGGUAACGGCCCACCAAGGCAACGAUCAGUAGGGGUUCUGAGAGGAAGGUCCCCCACAUUGGAACUGAGACACGGUCCAAACUCCUACGGGAGGCAGCAGUGAGGAAUAUUGGUCAAUGGGCGAGAGCCUGAACCAGCCAAGUAGCGUGCAGGAAGACGGCCCUAUGGGUUGUAAACUGCUUUUAUAAGGGAAUAAAGUGGGUCACGUGUGACUUUUUGCAUGUACCUUAUGAAUAAGGACCGGCUAAUUCCGUGCCAGCAGCCGCGGUAAUACGGAAGGUCCGGGCGUUAUCCGGAUUUAUUGGGUUUAAAGGGAGCGUAGGCCGGAGAUUAAGCGUGUUGUGAAAUGUAGAGGCUCAACCUCUGCACUGCAGCGCGAACUGGUCUUCUUGAGUACGCACAACGUGGGCGGAAUUCGUGGUGUAGCGGUGAAAUGCUUAGAUAUCACGAAGAACUCCGAUUGCGAAGGCAGCUCACGGGAGCGCAACUGACGCUGAAGCUCAAAAGUGCGGGUAUCGAACAGGAUUAGAUACCCUGGUAGUCCGCACGGUAAACGAUGGAUGCCCGCUGUUGGCCUGAAUAGGUCAGCGGCCAAGCGAAAGCAUUAAGCAUCCCACCUGGGGAGUACGCCGGCAACGGUGCAACUCAAAGGAAUUGACGGA
rnacentral:rRNA from 1 species